rnacentral:rRNA from 1 species
AACGAACGCUGGCGGCGUGCUUAACACAUGCAAGUCGAACGCGAAAGGGGCUUCGGUCCCGAGUAGAGUGGCGCACGGGUGAGUAACGCGUAAGUAAUCUACCCCCGCAUUCGGAAUAACUCGUCGAAAGGUGAGCUAAUACCGGAUACGUUUAUCUUGAUGCGAAUGAUGAUAAAGAAAGGUGGCCUCUUCAUGAAAGCUACUGUGCAGGGAUGAGCUUGCGUACCAUUAGCUAGUUGGUAGGGUAAUGGCCUACCAAGGCGACGAUGGCUAGCGGGUCUGAGAGGAUGAUCCGCCACACUGGAACUGGAACACGGACCAGACUCCUACGGGAGGCAGCAGUGAGGAAUAUUGCGCAAUGGGGGCAACCCUGACGCAGCGACGCCGCGUGGAUGAUAAAGGCCCUUGGGUCGUAAAAUCCUGUCAGAUGGAAAGAAAUGUAUGGGUGUUAAUAUCGCCUGUAUUUGACGGUACCAUCAAAGGAAGCACCGGCUAACUCCGUGCCAGCCGCCGCAGUAAUAC